rnacentral:rRNA from 1 species
UAGUUGGAUUUUGGUGUUUGACAAACGGUCGGCCUUACGGUUGGUACUGUUUGUUGGCACUUCUUUUCUGGGGAACUCACUGUUCUUAAUUGAAGGGUGUUGUAACGCAGAUCGUUUACUUUGAAAAAAUUAGAGUGUUCAAAGCAGGCCGUCGCACUGAAUACAUUAGCAUGGAAUAAUGGAAUAGGACUUUGGUCUUAUUUUGUUGGUUUCUAAGGCCGAGGUAAUGAUUAAUAGGGAUAGUUGGGGGCGUUUAUAUUCCGUUGUCAGAGGUGAAAUUCUUGGAUUUACGGAAGAUAAACUACUGCGAAAGCAUUCGCCAAGGAUGUUUUCAUUAAUCAAGAACGAAAGUUAGGGGAUCGAAGACGAUCAGAUACCGUCGUAGUCUUAACCAUAAACCAUGCCGACUAGGGAUCAGCAGACGUUCUUUAACGACUCUGUUGGCACCUUGUGAGAAAUCAAAGUUUUUGGGUUCCGGGGGGAGUAUGGUCGCAGGGCUGAAACUUAAAGGAAUUGACGGAAGGGCACCACCAGGAGUGGAGCCUGCG